GACGAAGGAUGCAAGCGUUAUCCGGAUUCAUUGGGUUUAAAGGGAGCGUAGGUGGCCUUAUAAGUCAGUGGUGAAAUCUCUGGGCUUAACCCAGAAAUUGCCAUUGAUACUGUAGGGCUUGAGUACAGUUGCUGUGGGCGGAAUAUGACAUGUAGUGGUGAAAUACAUAGAGAUGUCAUAGAACACCGAUUGCGAAGGCAGCUCACAAAACUGUAACUGACACUGAGGCUCGAAAGUGCGGGGAUCAAACGGG
rnacentral:rRNA from 1 species